GCUACUAUAAAGACAGAUGCACAUGUAUGUUUACUGCAGCACUAUUCACAAUAGCAAAGACUUGGAACGAACCCAAAUUCCAUAAAUGAUAGACUGGAUUAAGACAAUGCUCCCAUGCUAACACCAUCACCAGCAUCAGUGCAUGCAUACUUCCCAGCAGGGCCUCCUCUCCCCCACUGAGCUAUGCUGUCACCGCAGUUGUGAAUGUCCACACAGUGGCCAGCACCCUGGCACCCACUAGCACCCUGCCACAGCCAACAGGCAUGCACCUUGCCAUGCUGCCACUGCUGCUGGUGUCAAAAUGCAAGAAAAUGUAUUAAAGGCAGAUAGAAAGGACAAGUCACCUACAAAGGGAAGCCCAUCACACUAAAAGCAGACCUCUGAGUAGAAACCCAACAAGCGAGAAGAGAUUGAGGGCCUACAUUCAACAUUCUUAAAGAAAAGAAAUUCCAACCCAGAAUUUCCUAUCAAGCCAAACUAAGCAUAAGCAAAGGAAAAAUUAUAAAUAAAAUUAUAUCCAGUCGCAUCACAGUGAAAUUAUUGAAAAUGAAAGAUGAAGAGAAAACGUUGACAGUAGCCAGAGAAACAAAAUAAGAUCCAAAACUCAUCAUUAAAAAUAGUGAUCCCACAGAAUCCAGACUUUGAACCAUAUAACAUCCACA
rnacentral:lncRNA from 1 species